UCACACAGGUUGGCGAAGGUUU
rnacentral:miRNA from 1 species